UGACGGCCAUAUAGCGCAGAUAUAUCGGUUCACGUACGAUCAUCGAAGUUAAGCAAUGCCGAUCUUGGUCAGUACCUAAAUGGGUGACCGCUUGCGAAUACCACGAAGC